rnacentral:tRNA from 1 species
CAAAGAAAGGAGAUUUUAACUCCCACCCCUGGCUCCCAAAGCCAGGAUCCUUAGUUAAACUAUUCUUUG